rnacentral:rRNA from 1 species
GUACACUCCUGCGGGAGGCAGCAGUGGGGAAUUUUACGCAAUGGGGGAAACCCUGACGUAGCGACACCGCGUGAGCGAAGAAGCCCUUUGGGGUGUAAAGCUCUGUCAGCUGGAACGAAAACAAUGACGGUACCAGUAGAGGAAGCAUCGGCUAACUACGUGCCAGUAGCCGCGGUAAGACGUAGGAUGCGAGCGUUGUCCGGAUUUAUUGGGCGUAAAGAGUUCGUAGGUGGUUUGUUAAGUUUGGUGUUAAAGAUCGGGGCUCAACCCUGGGACUGCACUGAAUACUGGCAGACUCGAGUGUGGUAGAGGCUAGUGGAAUUCCCAGUGUAGCGGUGAAAUGCGUAGAUAUUGGGAAGAACACCGGUGGCGUAGGCGACUAGCUGGGCCAUAACUGACGCUGAGGAACGAAAGCCAGGGGAGCGAAUGGGAUUAGAAACCCCUGUAGUCCCAUGAU